ACUCUUUUACAAUGGUGUGACGUCGCUGUAAUACAUGUAGAAUACAUGCAGUAUCUGAUACGUCCUCUAUAUGAGGACUACAUAUUAAAUUGAUUUUUAGGACAGGGAGACGGAAGAGGGGCUUGCUCCGUCCACUCCAUGCAUCGACCUGGUAUUGCAGUACCUCCGGGAAUGGUACACAUUUU